UACGGAGGGAGCUAGCGUUGUUCGGAAUUACUGGGCGUAAAGCGCGCGUAGGCGGCUUUGUAAGUUAGAGGUGAAAGCCCGGGCUCAACCCGGAACUGCCUUUAAGACUGCAUCGCUUGAAUCCAGGAGAGGUGAGUGGAAUUCCGAGUGUAGAGGUGAAAUUCGUAGAUAUUCGGAAGAACACCAGUGGCGAAGGCGGCUCA
rnacentral:rRNA from 1 species